UGGGGAAUAUUGCACAAUGGGGGGAACCCUGAUGCAGCCAUGCCGCGUGAAUGAAGAAGGCCUUCGGGUUGUAAAGUUCUUUCGGUGACGAGGAAGGUUGAUAGGUUAAUAGCCUAUCAAAUUGACGUUAAUCACAGAAGAAGCACCGGCUAACUCCGUGCCAGCAGCCGCGGUAAUACGGGGGGUGCGAGCGUUAAUCGGAAUAACUGGGCGUAAAGGGCACGCAGGCGGUGACUUAAGUGAGAUGUGAAAGCCCCGAGCUUAACUUGGGAAUUGCAUUUCAUACUGGGUCGCUAGAGUACUUUAGGGAGGGGUAGAAUUCCACGUGUAGCGGUGAAAUGCGUAGAGAUGUGGAGGAAUACCGAAGGCGAAGGCAGCCCCUUGGGAAUGUACUGACGCUCAUGUGCGAAAGCGUGGGGAGCAAACAGGAUUAGAUACCCUGGUAGUCCACGCUGUAAACGAUGUCGAUUUGGGGAUUGGGCUUUAAGCUUGGUGCCCGUAGCUAACGUGAUAAAUCGACCGCCUGGGGAGUACGGCCGCAAGGUUA
rnacentral:rRNA from 1 species